rnacentral:rRNA from 1 species
AUGAGCAGGUUCCGGGCUGUGCUUAACUCUAGCGACCUCAAAGAGAUCAAGCUCUGCGGGCGCCGCUUCACCUGGUCGAACGAGCAGCACACCCCUACUCUGGUUAGGCUCAACCGUGUCUUCUGCACGCCGGACUGGGAUGUUCAAUUCAGCUCAACUAGACUGCUUCCCCUUGCCUCCGGAAUGUCCGACCACUGCCCGUUGCUCCUCACCUGCGAAUCCUCCCUGCCC